CCGUCGACCGGUCCUGUUUGUCGCCAGCCACACGCGAGACAAACUCUCUAAUCGCAGGUGAGUCGCAAUCCACGUAAUGCGUUGGAGCGAGAAAUUCCGCGAGGUCCGGGUUGACUUUCACUUGUGCCUCGAUUGGUACCUGCACUAACCUAACAGACGUUAGAAAUUGAGGCAAGUCAAAUCGGGUUGCGACCGGCGUCCAAAAGAUGGAUACCUCAUUUGUUGUUCCAUACGAAUAGAUUUAUCAAACGAUUGUUAGAAU
rnacentral:misc_RNA from 1 species